GUGGCCUGUGGAGACCACGUCCACGACAGCCUAGAGAGCAGGGGCCCCCUGCCCACCAUGAGCACCAUCCAGACGGACAGGGCCUCAGCACAUCUCUGCACCAGGAGACCCCAAGUGUGGGCUGAGGGGUGCGAGGCAGGAGCGUGGAUGGCGCCUGGUCCGGCACGGGGCCACACCUGGGGAGGGGCUCGCCUCAGGGCCCCCGGCGUCUUACCCAGAUGUUGUGAAAGGGGUCAGUCUCAUUGUCUGGGUCGUAGAUGAGGCAGUUUCCCCCGUAGUCUCUCUC
rnacentral:lncRNA from 1 species